rnacentral:rRNA from 1 species
CUUGGACGUUNCCNUGGAGGAUUAACCCNNNCAACCUUNUGAAUAUCUUUCUUGAACCAUUGAACGGUNCNGUUUAACANNUUUAUUUANCCNGAUAUUUAUAAUAACCAUGGUAAACUAUGGCUAAUGAUCUGGAUGAGGAUGUGACCUAUCAGCUUGUCGGUACGAUAAGUGCGUACCGUGGCGAUAACGGGUAACGGGGAAUAUGGGUUUUAUUCCGGAGAGGGAGCCUGAGAGAUGGCUGCCACGUCCAAGGACGGCAGCAGGCGCGAAACUUACCCAAUGAACAUUGAGGUAGUUACGAGGCGUAUUUAUAUACGGGAUGUAUAAAUAGCAUUCCCAAGUAUUGGAGGGCAAGCCUGGUGCCAGCAGCCGCGGUAAUACCAGCUCCAAUAGCGUCUGUGUUUAUUGCUGCGGUUAAAACGUGCGUAGUCUGGUUUAGAGCCUGAGUUAAAGAUGUGUUUUUAUAGCACAGAGUUAUUCAGGAACCAAGACCUUGAGACAGGGAAGAGGUAAUGUUAUUUGGUAGCGAGAGGUGAAAAUCGAUGACCUACCAAGGAGCGACAGAGGCGAAAGCGAUUACCGAGAACUGAUCUGACGAUCAAGCACGUGAGCAGGAGUAUCGAAGUGGAUUAGAGACCCUCGUAGUUCCUUGCAGUAAACGAUGCCAACACUGUGGUGACUAAUGUCAUUGCAGAAGCGAAAGCUAGUGUAUGGGCUCCGGGGAUAGUACGGACGCAAGUUUGAAACUUGAAGAAAUUGACGGAAGGACACCACAAGGAGUGGAGUGUGCGGGUUAAUUUGACUCAACGCGGGGAAACUUACCCGAGCAGGCAAUUAUCGAGAGAUGGAAUACCAGAUGAUAUUGCGCGUGGUGCAUGGCCGUUCUUAACACGUGGAGUGAUCUGUCUGGUCAAAUCUGAUAACGCGUGAGAGGUGAAUACUAUUAAUAUAGUAGACGGUGUCUGUAAGGACAAGGAAGUGUCACCCAAUAACAGGUCUGUGAUGCCCGUAGAUGUUCGGGGCUCCACGCGCACUACAAUGUGUGGUAGUAUAUUAAUGAGAUACUGCACGUAGUGGGGAUUGAUGUAUGUAAUUAUGUCAUGAACGUGGAAUUCCUAGUAGUUAGUAGUCACCAACGACUAACGAAUAUGUCCCUGUUCUUUGUACACACCGCCCGUCGUUAUCUAAGAUGGAGGUGCGGGUGAAGACGUGAGUUCUCGAAGACGUAAGUUGNCGAAGACGAGCGUAAGAAUCCGUGCAGCUAGAUUGGAUGUAAGUCGUAACAUGG